UUUGUCUAUUUUUGCUUUGGUUACCUGUGCUUGUGGGGUAUUUAUUACUCAAGAAAUCUUUGCCUAGUCCAAAGUCCUGAUGUUUUUUGCACAAGGUAGAAGAUGGGUGCAUCUGGCUUCCGAGGCGAUCGGGCAGCGUCAGUCUUCAGCUGCUAAGCCGAGAAGAUCUGGGAAGGAGUCAGUCGGAGAGCCUUGGGCCAGAGUUCCAGGGGCUCUGGAAGUGGCUGCCAGUGAGCUAAUACUCUGCUUGAGAUUCAUUAAGUCAAAGACUGACAUUUCCUCUGACCACAGACUCGACUUCAGUCUGCAGAUAUUAUCCUGCAAUUCAGCACACAUUGCUAUCUGCUCAUCGUGGAGGAAAAGCAAAUUGCAGAUAUUUUACUCUGCCAAAUCAUUAUGUGCUUAGGAUAUUCAAGGUUAGAAAAAGCUAAGUGACAUGUACUUUUAGAUACUUGGCAUUGUAAUUACAAUGUAGUGCAAAUCAGCAAGUAUUUAUUGGGUACUUAUGUGUCUAGCAUUGUAAUCAUGGCUUUUCCUUACACAACACUUGACAUAGCCAGAUGGAUACAAGAGAUUUUCUGGGCAGAAUUUCUUCUGAAAUGUUCCCUCCACUGGCCCAUUAUUUUACUAUUGGAGCCUUUUUUUUUGGAUCUAAAAAAAUGUUGGUUUUCAGAUUGAGGGUAAUCAAGAUACCCUGGUUAUGGCAAUUAGAGCAAGCAUUGUAGUUGUCAUUGGCAGGAAACAAGAGUCAGAAUUGGAAUUGAGAUGAAUAUCAGGAGUGAGAGAAAGUUGUAGUUUGAGAGAGAAGAUGUAUAUUAAAUGAGAAGGGAGAGAAGGUAGAGGUCAUCUCUGACUAACCUUCUCUGCUUCUUAGUUUUGCUAAUAAUCUGUCUUUCGUGUGGAACAGGGAAGCUCUACAUACCUAAAUUAGUAUGAUGUUGUGUUAAGGAGUGUAAACUUACAAAAAGAAGCAGAGCCAGUUAUGUCCAAGUUGAAGCAAAAAAGUACAUUUCACUGUUACAGACUUCUUUGAUUAUCCAAGCCACUGCUUUUUUUCUUUUAAAAUGGAUAAUGUUGAAAAGUUCAGAAUCUAGCAAAUUUGUGAAAUGUCACUUUGGGUAACAUGUGCCAAAUAAUUCAGAGGUACAAUUAACAAAAUAUCUAUAUCACAGUGAUUGAAUGUUCUCAACUAGUUUGUCCCUUUUGCUUCUCUCUCCUUCUGGCAAGUCUUUUAUAAGUUGGAACACUGAAAUUGCAUGCAGAUUUUAAAGACAUUGAUGUAUAAUUCAAUAGCAACUCAUAUUGUUUUUAAACAUCAAGGUUUCACUACUGAUUUUCUUCAGAGAGAUUUCAUUUCCACAUUUGUCAUUCAUAGAGAAGACACAAGGCGACCUCUUUUGAGGUGAUUUUCAUGAGCAAAUGAUAGAAAACAUGAAGGAAAAAUAUUAUUUCUUGUGUUUUAUUUGUAAUACCCUAUGUAUCUGCCUGCACUCUAACAGUUGACGACACAAGAAAGGAAGUUUGAUGAGAAAGAUGUAAAAUAUCAAGAUGAUUUUUCAUCAUAAUAUGUAGUCAGAAUCUUGAGAAUUGGGAGGAAAGGUAGAGAAGGCCAGCAAGACAGCAUGUUCAUGAGUAUGAAGGUGGGCUCAGAGUGAACCAGGUAUUCAAGUAUUUUAUAAUACCACGCCACCACCUUCUCGGAUGAUGUUAUACGGAUAGUGAGAGAUUCAUUACUAUUUCUGAGUUGGAAAGUAGACCAGCAAUCCUGUAGUAUAACAUUUCAUUUCAAAUCAUUCAAAGUGGCUUGAAAUUAUACACUGGCUGAUUUUAAAAGGUGGGUUAGAAUCAUAACUUAUUUGUUUUAAAGAAAACUAUGUCAUCUGCUUGCAUAAUGAUUUUUCACUUAAUGUUUUAUUCAGUCUUUCUAUAUAAUUGAGCCUAAUUGUUCUCUAAUACUGAAAGGACUCAGCUUUAUAUGCAGCCAUCCCUAUUUUUGAUAUUUCUAUGAAGGUGCUUUUGAAUAAUAAUGAAUACGCCUUUUAGAUUUGUUGUAAGUGUUUUAUAUUCCAGGACUGCUACUUAUACUUACUUGUAUUCUUGGUUUAUAACAUGUAGUACUCAGGAGAAUAAACCCUUGGGAAUGCUAUGCAAUAAGGAUUCUAAGAGACACUUAUGUCCUAUUUAUUUUUAUAGUUUCUGUAAGAAAGUGCUUAUUGGGCAGAAACAACCAGGAUAGCUUACAAAUAUGAAUGCCUGGAAAGAUCCCCAGGGUCUUCAUUAUUUAUGUUGUUUGAUAAGCACAUUCUAAUUGUUGAUAGGUUAAGGCCAGUGUUCUUAGACUGAUGUUCUCAAGGUUUUGUUUCUUCUACCUUAAGAGUUAAAACAUUCAAGAGAAUUAAUAGCAUGUAUUGAGCAAUUACUACACCAGAGAUACAAAGGAUGGGUAAUUAGAGAGCAAGAAGAAGUAUUUGAAUUUGGAAUAAACAGUACAAAUAAGAGAGACAGAGUGCAGGAUAUGUUGUACAUCAGUGUUUGCUUGAAAUGGAGGAAGACUUUCCUGCAGGAUGAAAAAUGGAGAAUGGCUAGAAAGGUUAGAGUUAGAUUGUAAAAAAGCCUGAAUGUUAAACUAAGCAAUUUGUUUUACCUUAUAGGCAGUGGGGAGACAUGGAGUACCAUCAGUAAUUCACUUAUUUUCAGAGUAGAAGCAUUUUGGCAUUCUAUUAUCUAUUACUUAAUAUAGAAUGCAGACAUUUAUUUGGAAAUGCAAUAGUCAUUUAACUCUUAGCAUGACAGCUCAUGUGAUAUACAGUAUUACAUUUUCCCUAUAUUAAAUACUAUACGAAGAAUAAAAUCGAUUUAUAUUUCAACUCUCUUUUUACUUGGAGAUGGGGGUGAAUGUUGUUGAUCUUCAUCUUUAGGCAGUAAUACUGAUCAUUAUCAUUACCUUUAUUAAAUUCCAACAAAGUGCAAAGUGUAAAACAUACAACUUGGCAAGGGAGUCCUUCUCAUGGUUGAAUAAUUGGAGAUAUUUCAAGGUGAAUUAUCAAACUAUUAACCUCUUUGGAUUUUUCUUUUGGUCAGAAUCAUUAAAGGGACUGGUAUUUGGGUGAGAUUUGAACUCUGUGAGGUCAGAAACUAUGACAUACUUACUCUACUAUUGACAAUAUCCAGCACAUAAUUAUAUGCCUGGCACAUAUUUAAGAGACUAAAAGGAACUUAUUGAGUGAAUGAGUGAAUGAAUGAUAUUCUGGACUUCUGUGAUUUUUCCUAAUGUGAUUUCACCCCCCUUUCACUUAAGUCACCUAUUGGCACUUGUACAUUGUUAUCACUAAAAUUUAUCCACUCUUAAGACCUGGUAAUUAAUGCAACACAUGAUCAUGAAUGGAUCUCAGGCAAGAAGGAGCCAUUAGGAGGAAAGUCUUAGCUAGGUGUGGUGGCACACAACUGUAGUCCCAGGUACUGGGGAUGCUGAGGUGGGAGGAUUGCUUGAGCCUAGAAAGUCAAGGAUGCAGUGAGCCGUGAUAGUGAUAUUCGAAUAACAUCUUUAGAUAAUAGAAUUAUAUCAAUGUUAAUUUUGUGACAUUGAUCAUUGUUCUUUGAUUAUGUAAGAUGUUAACAGAAUUUUUGCAGAAUCUGGAUAAAGGUUACACAAUAAUUAUUUUAUAAUUUUUGC
rnacentral:lncRNA from 10 species